GUCACUGUUGGAAUCUGGACUUUGGAAUCAAAGAGACUCAGAGCAAGGAUGAAGUUCCAAGAAGAGAGCUCUUACGCUAACACUUUUCAUUCAUCAUUAUACUUUGCUAGUUAUGCAUCUAACAUUUGCCCCUUGGAUUGCCUAGCAUUUGACUAGAAGGUAUGAAGUUCUAACCAAGAAGCUGAGAUGCACCUCAUCUUCUUCUCCUGGACCCCAGAAUGAAAUGAAAACUGGAGAAGAAAGGCUGAGUUGAAGGCAGUGUUUCUAGCAAGGCCAUGUCAAGCAAACCUCUGCGAAGAGGACCACCAACAAGGGACCGAGUGUUUAAUGACCAGACCAUGUGCAACAUUUCACAUUCAAACCAGAGACAUUGUGUGCUCCACUGCCCCCGUUUUCACAGCAGCCUUGUGGUUUACACUGAGCACAGUUAAAACAGUUAACAUGACCUCUGAGGGAAACGAAGGCCCAGGCGCUGCUCCAUUUUGUCUCUGUUAUCACACUGUUUCCCUGGUGGCUCUCAGGGUAACUGCUUUUGUAAUCCGGGUGUUAGUCAUUUGUAUCAUCUGAGAUUAACAGUAACAGAAAAAGUAAAUGGACUAUAGAUUGUGCGUUCUUUAUUCAAACUGCUUCAAGAUCUAAAGCAUUUUGAGCGCUGACGUGACUCCACAGUUGGGAUCUUC